rnacentral:lncRNA from 1 species
GCUUACAGGAGAGUUGGCAGAACAAAGCGAGGAGGAGAUCUGCGAUCAACUGCUCUUUCUUUCCUUGAGGUGCGUCUAUGGUGCCUGCCCUUUUAUUCAUGAAGCAGAGGUUGAACAGGUGGAGUCCAAUUGGUGGCUGACGCAAAUGGAUACUAGAGCAUUUGCCUACUGGUUAAUGGAGCGUGAUUCGAGAAGCCUUUGAUCGGUCGUCGUCGUCCUUGACGUGUUUUGAUGACCCAGACUCUGUUACUUCCCAAUAGUGACGAAUAAAAGAAUGGCACCGGUGGUUCCAAUUCCAAGCCAAAGCAUAAUCUUCACAACCAUCGAGUUGAUUGAAGGAGAAAUAAAGAGACGAAUCAUUCAUGUCUUCAGCUUUCUCUUCUUUGAAUGUGGAGAAACAGGGGAGGUUAGAGUGUGCAGUGCUGCCUUCCAGAUCGUUGCUAUGGCGUGCAUCGCACUCUUGGCAGCUCCGUGAAUUCCAUCGGUGACGAACCUACUUUUGAAGUCACAUGGUGGUCUUGUGGAAGACGUCUUUGAAACGGGACGCAGAACGCCAAGGAUUUCAAAUGGUGCAGUGACCCGAAACACGCGUGACAACUGUUUGUAGGACUGAC